GGCCUUGCUCAUGGCAGGCUGGCACGUAUCAAUUAUUGUUGCAUGAAUGAAUGAUUAUUGUUGCAUGAUAAACAAGUAAGUGUUUUUGUCUGUGUAGAGUAUUCUUCCUUCCUUUUUCUUUAGCACAUUGUUUGUGUUGUUUUCUUUGCAUGCCUAGCACAUCAUUCCUCAUAUAGCAUGUAGUGUACUGCACUACAGUUGGCAUUUUAUGGAAUCGUCUCAAAAGAUCACAAAGUGAUCUUUGUGAGACCAGUGAUUACAGCUUAUUCAUGUUAGUAUCCGUGUUAUGUAUCCAAGUACCUACUUAGCGAUAGGACUCAAUUACAUGAAUUAAUUGAUGAAUUAUUCCAUUAGAAUUCAACCACCAUGAAUUCAGAGAAUAGAGAAUCAGAGGACUGGUUUCCUGAAAUCAGAUUCUAUCCUGCUGAUACUGAUCUAACUUACCUCACUGAUCCUGCCUAAAUUAUCAUAUAUCUAAAAGGAUGCAGGAUAUAAGCAUUCUCUGCAUCUAUAGAUUCAACAAGAGGCAUGACUCAUCCAAUCUGCAGUAAGAGCUGCAUGAUAUUUAGACAAAGCCCUCCAAAAGUAAUGGAGACAAUCAAUAAUGCUGUAUUUCUUUCAGCCCACCAUGUCUCAGGGAUGUACAACGCAGCAAUGCAAAGAGUACUGAGUAAUCUCAGAGAAGGCACAUUACUGUCUUCGAUUUCCUUCUCUAUUAGAGAAUCUUAUGGUUACAGGGGACCUAAAAUAACUUUUUUACAAAGCCAAGCAUCCAGUAGUGUUUUGCAGAGUACAUCCCUAGAUUUCCACCUUGGUUUACAAUAAGUAGGAAUAGUUGGAUGGAUUCCCUCGUACUCAGUUCACCAACAUACAUGUAGGAUGUUGAUUGAAGCAGUGGCAGGAUACUAAAGGUCAGGAGAGUGGCCUUUUAUACCUGUUAAAGAUCCCUGCUCAGGAGAAACCACCCUUUGUGAAAUGGUCUGAUUCAUCAUAUUCUGAUCCGCCCAUAUCUCCACUCUUCUUUCUCUGUUGUUUAUUUCCUAACUUCUUCGAGUACUAAUUUCUGCUUGUAUUAGCAGCUUGCAGGCUCAGGUUGACAUUAGGCCUGGCUAUCAUAAAUUUUACAGAAGGAAAUCAUAGCCUCCUUUUGUACAUCUGUCAUCUUUUAUCCUUUCUUAUAUUUCCCAUAUUGACCUAACAAAUGCUUGAGGCAUAUGUGCUGAAGAGCAAUUAUCCUUGAGCUGAGGUAGUAGAAUAUGCAUGUGUAAGAGAGAUCUGAAAUCCAAAAUAGGUGAAGAAUUUUGGAAAAUUCCCAGCUAGGAUUUAAUCUCACGUAGUUUGUUACUGUGAAUUCCAUAUCUGAUGAUUAUAGAAAUAUGCCUGGGAGAUAAUGAACUGCUACCUGUGGUCUUUGAUAUGUUGUUGUAAAUGGAAAUGAGAGGAUAUUGGAGGUGGGCAAAUUCAGUGGAUUAUGCCAAGUUGAGAAGUGAGGUCUACUUUUCUCUUUUUAUCAUGGUUUUUAUCCCAGAAUAUCAAAUGUAUGCUGCAUACUCUGCCUUGGUGAACCUUGACAGAAUAUGUUUACUCCUACAGUCAUGCCUCUAACUCUAUGCAGGAGACUCUUAUAGAGAUUCUCAGUAACUAUGCAGGAGAUUCUCAACCCUGGACUUUUCAUGUCUAGUCAUUUGUGUCUCACUGUAUAUUUAAUCUCUCCACUUGGAUACUUAGAUACUUAAAUAUCCCCAUCAUCUCACACUGAUCCCAUUAUAAUACUUUCCCCAGAUGUAUAAUAUUUCUUCUGUUGUCUUCUGUCAUAUAUCAGUGACAUUCUUUUGUGUCUCAGUCUAAGGACUCUAUAGUCAUUCUUUAUUUCUCCCGUUUCUUCAUCCUCACACUCACGUGACCACAUUUUGUCAGUUUCACUGCAGAUGUAUCUCCUGGGUCUAAGCCUCCUCUCUGUCCCAAGCAUGGCUUGUUUGAUUCUGGCUCUGGCUACCUUGUAUCUGGAUGAUUUCCAGAAUUUUUCUAAUUAGUCUUUUUCUACCAUCAUGAUAUGUUCAUAUCAGUCCUUCUUCUGCAUUGCUGCAAGAUUCAUCUUUCUAUAAACAAAUAUUAUCAUGUCAUUUUCUUGCCUUAAAGCUCCGGUAAGCUCUCCUUUGUCUAGAAUAAAUUUCAAAUUUCUUACCUUGGCAUGCAAGCCUCCUGAAAAUCAGGCAUGAAAGUUCACUUUUUGAGUCUUUUCUACUACCAUUUGUCUUUUAUGGGAUUGUUCCUUUGAAUGUUAACAACAAUCCUUGAUCAUUUCUUAUCUAAUUAAUGUCGUUGCACAUGCUAUUUCCUCUGCCAUUUUUCUUCUCUGCCAGACAAGCUUUCUUACAAAUCCUAUAAGAUCUGGUGGGAAAUCUCAUCUCCUUUAUGAUACUUUCUGUGGCAUUCUCUGCAGCUUAAGCAAUUCCUUCUAGUGAAGUUACUUGCAUUCAAGUAGAGCCCUUCCAUAGCUCCUGUCACAUCAUGUUAUAAUUGUUUGUUCAUUUGCCUGUUGGCCACCAUCUCUUUCACCUGGCCCCCAUCUCUAUGCCAGUAGGUAUGAUUAAUAUUUUGUGAGCAAUAAUCUUUAGUAGUUUGGGACCUUUAGGGAAGGUACAGAUGAUCCUCCUCUUGGAGCCACAAUGUACAUUAACCUCUUAAAGGUGAUGACUCUGAGAAGCUCUGUAGAACUUAAGACCCUGUGUCUAACCAGGUUUCCCAAAUAUAUAUAUAUAUUUGAGACGGGGUUUCACUCGUUACCCAGGCUGGAGUGCAAUGGUGCGAUCUCAGCUCACCGCAACCUCCACCUCCUGGGUUCAGGCAAUUCUCCUGCCUCAGCCUCCUGAGUAGCUGGGAUUGCAGGCAUGCACCACCAUGCCCAGCUAAUUUUUUGUAUUUUUAGUAGAGACGGGGUUUCACCACGUUGACCAGGAUGGUCUUGAUCUCUUGACCUCGUGAUCCACUCACCUCAGCUGGGAUUACAGGAGUGAGCCACCGAGCCCAGCCUCCCAAAUACUUUUAACCAGGGAACUCUUCUUUUGAAGAACAUCUAUUAUUAGUCAAGGAAUUCAGUAAGGGAAAUGUUCUGCAUCAAAUACUCUCUGAAGCAUUAAAAAAUGAUAGUUGAAAAGCCAUGUUUUUGCUUCAUUGUCAGCAUUAGCAUCUUUACCUCUCCUGAUUUCUUCUCUUUUCCAGAGGCUUUUAUCAUUUUAUUACUUCAGCCACCUAGUUGGAAAUGUAUCAUAUGAGUAAUGCCCUCAGGGGACUGGUACCCUGGGUUCUGUUUUUACAAUGGAUAGGCUUCCAAAUCUUACUGAUUCAUGGGGGCUAACAGCUUGAAAGGUAAUUAGCUAUUAUGUUGAAGGACAAUUCCUUUGAAUAUAUGUAGAUCACCAUUUUAAUCAGUGACUCGAAUAACGGUGUGAAUUGAUGGCAGAUAUGUUAUAGGUGAGAUUCAGGAUGCAUGAAGAAGGUUUUAUAGGCUGGACUGAAAUGGUGGGAAAAUCUAGAAGAAAUAACUUUAAUAGUUGUAUAAAAAAAGUAUCCUGGGCUGCGAACCGCUACAUAACUAGAAUAAUCACUGAAGUACUUCUGGAAGUCCUUGAGUGUGAACUUGUGUCAGCAGUGAUGCACUUUUAUGCUGAAGCCAUAGAUUCCUCAGUGAAUGCUGAUCUUGUGGUGGUGAAGACUGGCCACGUGUCUCAAUCAGCAUUUUAAAUCUUUUAUUGGUGUGAACUACUCUUACAAUUUCCUGUAGUUUUCCAGGAAUUCAUCUCUAUUUUAAGAUUCCUCAAACAACUUGCGGCAAAUUCCUCCAAGGCUUGAUCAGACAUGUUUAAUGGCAUUCCCAGCAGUGGUAAGCAUAAGAGUGAAAUUAGGUGGAACACAUGCCUUUUGAGUUUUGACUGCUUCAGGUUGAAUUUUUUUCUCCUCUGGGGCAUCUUUAAGGGGUUUUGGGGGUUUUGCUAUCUCCCUUUCUUCAAAAUUUUUGAUCUACAUGACCUGGAAUGAAACUCUUUUUCCCACUUAUUACUCUUUCUCUGUUGGAACCCAUCAGUACUCAUGCAAAGUGUACUCCUGCCAGUUAAAAUAACUAUCACUGAAUUAUGCAUAAUUCAUUUGUACUGUGGGUACAUUUCAACUAAUAUUUGUAUUUUUCUUAUGCAAUUUAUAUAUUUUUUGAAAAAAGCUUUUAAGGUAAGUAUACGUGAUUGGGUUGACUUAUCUAACGCAAUCCGUCAUUAUAUCGGAAUGCUUCUUGGAUAGUCCGGGCCAGCCUGCAGCCAGAGUCUGGCUCUGAGUUUGCUUCCUGGCUCUUCCAUUUACUGUUGUAUGACCUUGGGUAAUUACUUAGCUUUUCUUAGGCUGUUUCCUCAUCAUCAAAGUAAGGAUAAUAAUGCCUAUUUUAAAGGCUGUUGAAGUAUUAAGUAAGCUAAUUAUGUCAAUUAUAGGACACAUUGUGUAACAUCUUAGUUACAUUAACACUCAUAGCUAUUAUUAUAUAAUUAUCGGAGUUUAGUUGUUAUCCUAUUAUUGGCUAUAUUAAUUGUGUGAACUUUUGUGCUUGUAUGUAUUUCCAGUAAGAGAGCUUCUGGGAAUGUAAAUGUCUUUUUCUUUUUCAAGGAUUUUUUUCUCUUAGUGGCUAUCUCCUUGGAGACCUCAUGAAGAAUGCUGUGGGUUCUAUAGGGUACAGUGUGAUCUUGGUCCUGCAUAAUCUCCUUUCUAAACUUCAGAAAAUCAUGUACCUUGGAGUUGUGGAGGCAUGUUUAGAAGCAGAUCUGAGUUUUGCCACACUGGAAUUUAUUUAUUCAUUGAACAAAUACUUGAUACAUACUACAGUUCUCUCUUUAGCUGGGCAUGGAUGAAUCUCGAGAACAUCAUUCUCAGCAAACUGACACAAGAACAGAAGAUGAAAUACCGCAUAUUCUCACUCAUAGGUGGGUGAUGAAAAAUGAGAACACAUGGACACAGGGAGGGGAAUAUCAAACACUGGGGUCUAUUGGGGGGAAAAGGGGAGGGCCAGUGGUGGGGGGAGUAGGGGAGGGAUAGCCUGGGGAGAAAUGCCAAAUGUGGGUGAGGGGGAGAAAGGAAGCAAAACACACUGCCAUGUGUGUACCUAUGCAACUGUCUUGCAUGUUCUGCACAUGUACCCCAAAACCUAAAAUGCAAUAAAAAAUUAAAAAAAAAAGAAAUGUAUGAUAUGAGUUUGACCCCAUUCCUGGUUUGGCUGUCACUGGUGAAAUUUUGAUUUGUUUGUACUCUAUUUUGUCUACUUUGUAGAGAGGGACGUUUUGUAAUGUGUCUUGGUUGGGAAGACUUUCCUCACCACUGUCCUUCAGGAUGCCCUAGAAAGGGGCUGUAGUGUUAGAGCUGUCCACUUGAGGAAUAUCCUUCAUAUACUUCACUCUUAACUUUUCCCUCAAAGUCUCCCAGCCAGGUCAUCUGCACAGUAUCUUUUUUUCUUUCCUCCAGUAAAAAACUGCUCAUUAUUUUCACUGUAAAAGGUGAAGUGAGAAGAGGGGUUGGAAUUUCUACUUUAGCCUCCUGAACAUUCUUAGCUGUUCUAGGAUGGUCAGAAGACACAGCAGUGUUAUCUAUAGACUUCCUAAUCCAUAGUGUUUGUCUCUUCUCUCCAAGAGAGGUGUUUUGGUUGCUGUAUAACAAACAAUCCCGAUACUUAGUGGUUUGAAACUCCAGUCAUUCUAUUGUAUUUCAGUAUUCUAUGGAUUAAGAAUUUGGGCAUAGCUCAGCUGGGUAAAACUUGGCUGGAAUCAGUAAUGUUCAGCCAUGGGCGAGGCUGAACUCCACUCACAUAGUCAGAGCUCUGGCAUGAUGACUAGAAGACUGGGCUUGACUAUCUCCCCUUAUCUAUAUAUUCGGGGAUUGUCCACAUGAUUUUUCUAGCAGGGUAGUCAGAACUUUUACAUGUCAGCAGGAAACCAACAAGUUUUAAAACUAAAGAUCAACCAAAUGAAAAUAAGCAGAUGCUAUUUAUUCAGAGUUUGCUAUAGCAACGGAGUCAGCUACUGUGAAUUUAAAAGGCCAUUCCACCAUUCUGUCAAUCCAGCUGCUUCAGGAUGAUGGCAAACAUGGUAAGAGCAGUGAAUUCCAUGAGCAUGAGCCCACUGCCACAUUUCUUUAGCUGUAAAGUGAGUGCCUUGGUCAAAGGCAAUGCUAUAUGGAAUACCAUGAAGAUGGAUAAGGCAUUCAGUGAGUCCACGAAUGGUAGUCUUGGCAGAAGCAUCGCAUGCAGGACAGGCAAACCCAUAUCCACAGUGUCUGUUCUGGUGAGGACAAACUGCUUCCUUUUCCAUGAUGAAAGAGGCCCAGUAUAAUCAACCUGCCACCAAGUAGCUGACUAAUCACCCUGAGGAAUGAUGCCAUGUCAAGGGCUCAGUGUUGGCACAUUGCUGCUGGCAAAUUGGGCACUCAGCAGAGGACAUAACCAGAUCAGCCUUGACGAGUGGAAGUUCAUGUUGCUGAGCUCACGUGUAACCUCCAUCCUUGCCACCAUGGGCAUUGUUCAUGGGCCUACUGGGCAAUGACAGGGGUGGCUGGGUAAAGAGGAUGAGUAGUAUCCACAGAAUGAUUCAUCCAAUCCACUUGAUUGUUAAAAUCCUCCUCUGCUGAGGUCACCCUUUGGUGAGCACUCACAUUAAAUACAAAUAUCUUUGCAGUUUUGACCACUCAGAGAGGUCCAUCUAUAUGCCUCUUCCUCAAAUUUUUUGUCACCAAUUUUCCAGUCAUGCCUCUUCUAAGUCUCUGACCAUCCAGCCGAACCAUUGGCUAUAGUUCAUGAAUUAGUAUAUAUUCAUACAUCUGGCAAAUUGUCUUUUCAAGCAAAGUACAUUGAAGUUCUGCCCACUGGGAAGAUUUUCCUCACCACUGUCCUCAGGACAUCCUCUAGGACAGCCCUUUCUAAAGGGGCUGUAGUGCAACAGCUGCCCUCUUUCAGAUGGUACCUGCAUAUUGGCAUAUUGUGCAGAGCCAUCUGUAAAAUCAGGCCCUAGUCUUCUCUUUCUCUGUCAACUGAUCAUAGGGGACUCCCCAUGAGGUCAUCAGUGCAGGCUGGGGAGAGAAAAGGCAGGGUGCAGGAGUGGCAAUGAGGAAACUUACAAUCAUGGCAGAAGGGGCAGCAAACACAUCCUUCUUGACAUGACAGCAGCAAAGAAAACAAUGUGUUUGCUUCCCCUUCCAUCAAGAUUGUAAAUUUCCUUGGGCCUCAGUAGCCAUGCUGAACUGUGAGUCAAUUAAACCUCUUUUCUUUGUAAAUUAUCCAGUCAUGGGGUAUGUCUUUAUUAGCAACAUGAGAACGAACUAAUACAAUGAUAAAUACUGCUCUGCUGUUUACCUGGGUAGUACAGUGGUCUCCUCGCUAGUCUUCUUGCCUCUGGUCUCAUAUCCUUUCUUUCUUGCUGCCAAAAUAUUUAUUAUGUGACUUCUGAUUAAAACCCCUUUUCCCCUACUGUCAGAUGAUAGAGACCUAAAAUUUUAGAGUGUCUUAUAAGGCUCUUUUUGAUCUGGUUCCCAUGUUUUCAGAAUAAUUUUGUGCCAUGCCCCUCACACUCACCAUAUAUCUUGACGAUACUGAACUGUACUAUCUGUUUCUUGAGCCCACCUUUAUUUUCCUUUGGGAUUUUGCACAGGUUGUUUAAUCCCCCUGAAAUACUUUCCAUCUCAAAUCAAGCUGGCACAUUUCCAGCCAUUUCUAGAGUUUCAGUGCCCAUGUCUGUUAAAUUCAGAAGUUUAUUUGAGCCAUCUCUUCCAUAUCACUAAACACAGUUAGCUGGUACCACUAUACUUUACAUUACCACUGCAUGUUAAUAAUAGUUUUAAAAGAUUAUUUGUCACACUGUUGUAUCUUUCCUCCCUGGUCAGUGAACUUCUGAAGGACAUAUCUGUCUUUCCAAUCUUUGUAUAUUCAUCUGGUUUAGAAUCCGACAAUUAAAUGCUCAAUACUUUUCUUCUAAUGAAAGCAUGAGGUAAUAUUGCAACAGGAGUCAGAUAACCGCAUUAUUUAGAUUCUUAUUAGUCUAAGCCUUAUUUCUAGGCUUCUAUUUAAAGAUUUGUGGAAGUGCGUUUGGCACAUACAUAGAGCCCAGUCUUGUAUUGCUACUUUUUGUCCAGUUUUUCCUCACGUGACAGUGGAUCAAGUCUUUGAAGGGAAAGAGCAAUAGAAACCGAUGACAAUAUGUCCCAACAAAUAGCUAGGGAUUAUGUUACUCAUUUUCAUAUGAAACGAUAUAGAUACAUUAUUUGUU